CAAGGCUGGAGCAAGGCACAGCUCACUCUGACAAGAUAAACUGCAAGAAAUGUGAGAGGCGACAAGAGAAGGAAAAGGCAGAAUGCCCUUAUCUGGAGACCUGGCUUAGACCACACCCAUUCCAUGACGCCACCCCGGAUUGCCCCUUUCCUGUGCUUUCAGAGCCCACCAGCCCUUCUCAGCCUCCAAGGACACAGGACAUCAGCUCAGGGCCUUGAAGGAGCCCUAGUCAGCGUGGUCCUGAGUCACCAAGUCUGUCAAGGCCAACAGGACUGAGACCUCCACAAACUGACGCUGAAGUCUAAGGACCUUUUUCCUUGUUCCACCCCACUGCGCCUCAGAUGUUUCCAGGAGUUUCUGAAGGUCAUGUUAACUAGAAUUUACUCUUAAAACCAAAGACACAGAAAUAAACGUUAAGCAUAGUA
rnacentral:lncRNA from 10 species